rnacentral:lncRNA from 1 species
CUUUUUGAAGAUUUUUUAAUUUUAAAAUAAUCUCUAUACCCAAUGUGGGGCUUGAAUUUACAACCCCAAGAUUAAGAGUCAUGUGUUCUACCAACCAAUCCAGCCAGGUACCCCUCUACAUUUUGUUUUAAAGUACAUUUGAUAACAUAUGAAAAAUGCUUUUUGAUUAAAAAUGUAUUUUGUUUUAUAUUAGAUAUUACUUCUUAUCGUGGAAUGUUCUCAACUAUUACGGCACGAGAGAACCACGGUGCCCAUGUGGGUGUAAGACCAAAAAAAUAUGGCAGUGACAGAGCAUGGUGCCCCUCAGCAGCCUGUUUUCCGGUCUCCACAGCCACCUGCUGCCUCCCCAGGUCCCACUUAAGGAUUCUCAGGGCUACAGGAGUAAAAUUUGUUUUUUCCAACUUCCUUCCUCAUGUUGACUCCACAUGUCUCCUUGAAGGCCGUGGUAACUCACUCUCUGUAGUAGUAAUUCCUGUGAUACUCUUUACUCCUCUCUCAUAUAUAAAAUGGCAGUAUAAAAAUGGCUUGUACUGAGUGUACUGCCAUUUCCCAACUUAUUUGCAUGCUGAGAUAAAAACAUACUCUUUAAAUAUACAGAUCUG